ensembl:ncRNA C33B4.9 ncRNA
UUUCACCCCAUCUCGACGCCAUUCCAUCUCAUCAUCAUCCUCUUCCUCUCGCUUCUGGUUUAUUUCCAUUCGGGGGGAAAAGAUAAGGCGGGUAGAAAACACAGGAAGGCAAUAGAUGGAAGGAGAUAGCCAGGUGAUAAUAGCACGGCU